rnacentral:sRNA from 1 species
AUUGGCAAGCUUGCGUUCCCCAGCGACACAGGCCUCGAGGCUGUCUCUGACAAGUGUUCACAGGAGGUGGGGACGCCUCUGCGCGAGGAACGAGGAGCUACGGGCCUGGGCCCGGCUAUUGCCAUGGGCAGCGGCUGCCGCAUCGAAUGCAUAUUCUUCAGCGAGUUCCACCCCACGCUGGGACCCAAGAUCACCUAUCAGGUCCCUGAAGACUUCAUCUCCCGAGAGCUGUUUGACACAGUCCAAGUGUACAUCAUCACCAAGCCAGAGCUGCAGAACAAGCUUAUCACUGUCACAGCUAUGGAAAAGAAGCUGAUCGGCUGUCCUGUGUGCAUCGAACACAAGAAGUACAGCCGCAAUGCCCUCCUCUUCAACCUGGGCUUCGUGUGUGAUGCCCAGGCCAAGACCUGCGCCCUCGAGCCCAUCGUUAAAAAGCUGGCUGGCUAUCUGACCACACUAGAGGUCUGCAAUGAGAUGGGCUUGGGUUUACGGACAGGCAGAGUUGGGGAAGGUGUUCCCAUGUCUCCAAAGUCCCCCAAACCUGGGACCCUGCCAACCAGCUCAGGACUCAGGGCAGCCAACCAGCCAGGGGUCCUGGGAUGUGCCCACCAUGCUUUCCAUGCUCUAUCUAGCUAGAGAGCAGCUUCGUGUCCAUGGAGGAGAGCAAGCAGAAGUUGGUGCCCAUCAUGACCAUCUUGCUGGAGGAGCUAAAUGCCUCAGGCCGGUGCACUCUGCCCAUUGGUAUGGCCAGCCUCUGCAAGGACAGCAGAGGGGUAGAGAAGAGAUGGGAAAGUGAGCCCAGCCAGUCAGGGAGAAGGACAAGACUCACGAACACACUGGUGGGCAGGAAAUAGCCAUGGGCUGGGGUGCCCAUGUCCAGGGUCCAAUGCAUGAUGGAGCUGGGACUGGGGGUAGGGGGAAAGCAGAGCUCUCCAGCUCUGCUCCUUGGGCAAUUCCUUCCCCUUUGUGGG